CAAGAGAUAGUUUAACGUAAGACAAUAGCUUUGGGAGUUGUAGAUGUAGGUGCAAGCCUUACUCUCUUGA
rnacentral:tRNA from 1 species